rnacentral:misc_RNA from 1 species
UCCAGCAGCCGCGGUAAUACGUUCCCGGGCCUUGUACACACCGCCCGUCACAUCACGAAAGUCGGUUGCACUAGAAGUCGGUGGGCUAACCCGCAAGGGAGGCAGCCGCCUAAAGUGUGAUCGGUAAUUGGGGUGAAGUCGUAACAGGGUAGCUGUAGGAGAACCUGCGGCUGGAUCACCUCCUUUCUAAAGAGCAUCUCCGCCUCGGAUCAAAACGAGGUCGUGACGA